ACUCAUAUCAAACAAUACACAUCCACUCAGGACUUUGUCUACUCUUUACACAUUAACUCAAGGCUUCCUAAGCUCUCCCUCCCACACUCAUACACAUAAAGUACAAAUAGAACAUUGUUGUCAUUUUCAGUCAGUUUUUCUGAUAAUGUAUUUUUAUUCUAUCUUACAGGCAGAUUGGAAAGUUAAAGAACCCAGGUCCUUCACCUUUGGUAGUUUUCCAAGUGCUGUCAUAGAAGACGUCAUUGGCAUACCAGGUACUCAGCUCUAUGUGCCCUCUACCCUGUCACAGUUGCCACUUCAACAAUUCUUCCAUCUCAUGACAUUGACCCCCUUUCGACAGGAUAAGGACACUGAGAGUUUUCAGGGUCAGUUAAUUUCUGUGACAAGUCUGUUUUGUUACCACGAUGAGAAGCUGAGGAACAUGAGUGCCUGCAUCUGGUUUGACAUCAGGGUGUCUCCAGACUGAUCCCAUGUGGUUCACCAACACCAAGGUCCUCAAAUCUAACCCAUCCUCCGAACCAGGAGCUCCCCAACACUAGAGAUGUUCAUGAGUACAUGCUCGGUGCCGCCAAGGUGACUGCUUACAGAGGGAUGCUCUUUUGUAUGUGAUGGAAUGGCAGCUCCUUAAAGAAAUGGUAAGACUUACCAAUAUUCUCAGAAAAAACAUAAUUUUGGACGUAUCUGAGAAGUUGCAUGUGAGUCCAAAUCCAGGGAAAGCCACACAGAAAAUCAUGGUGGAGCACACAGUAGAGGGGCUAGCUACUCAUCUCAUGGUGGCUGAGAAGUAUAGGCGAGAGUUCCAGUGAUGCUCCUCGAUGGUUGAGUCAGACCAUUGUCCUCUCACUGGAACCCCCCAGCUGUGUAAACAUCAUAGAAGUUGACUGGUCCAAUUCACAGACAUGAAAAUCUACCCACUGAAUGGUGGAUAUCAGGACAAGAGAGAAUGAAGUGGGGAGUUCCUGAUCAGCAGCUGUGAAGUUUCACCUGCAGAAGGUAAAAGAGCCUUGGAAGUAGAUGAUGAGGGGAGCAUUGAGGAGGUCUGAACAACAGGUAAGCUUCUUGUCGCCAAACCAUAUGCUGAACACAGUUAAAAAGGCAUGUUUCAGCUUAUGUGCAUUUCUCAGAAUUUCAAUAAGUCAAAAUAAUACCAACAACAGAAAGAGACUACGAGGAAGUGAAAUGGGCUGGGUGUGAGGGUCUCGUCAGGAGGCUGAGACACAAAGAUUGUUAUGAAUUCCAGGCUAUGGAGUUGAGACCCUGCCUCAAAAAUACUUACUAUAUGCCUACUCCUGGAUAUUUACUCUCAAAUAUUCCAAGUCAGCAAUCUCACAGAGAAGUUAAGGGACACACCUAGGUGUCCAGCAACAGGGGACUGGAGGAAGAAAAUGUGGUUUAUAGACACUAGGGAAGUGUUUCAGCAGUAAAGGAAAGUGAAGUUAUGUCAUUUGCAAGAAAAUGGGCACGACUAGAGAGAAUCACAUUAAGCAAAUGAAGUCAGGUUCAGAAAGGCAAAUGUUACAUCCUUUCUCUCACUUGUGGGUCCUGUACUUUAUAGAUACAGAAAUCACUUAUCUACAGAGGACAUGAAAGCAGAAUUAAAGCUGUCUAGUAAAACAAAGGGGACUCAUGAAAAGGGGGAGUGGUGAGAACUGAAGAGUAAUGAGCUAUGGAGGAGGGGGCAUGUCUUAGUUAAGGUUUCUAUUGAUGUGAUCAAACACAUGACCACAAAGUGAGUUGGGCAGGAAAGGGUUUAUUAGGCUUACACUUCAGCAUUGCUGUUUAUCAUUGAAGGAAGUCAGGACGGGAACUCAAACAGGGCACAAUCCCAGAGACAUGGCCUCUGAUGCAGAGGCCAUGGAGGGGUGCUGCUUACUGGCUUGCUUCCCAUGGCUUGCUCAACCCACCUUC